UACGUAGGGGGCAAGCGUUGUCCGGAAUUAUUGGGCGUAAAGAGCGCGUAGGCGGUCCGAUAAGUCGGCUGUGAAAGUCAGGGGCUCAACCCUUGAAAGCCGGCCGAUACUGUCGGACUAGAGUCCGGAAGAGGCAAGUGGAAUUCCCGGUGUAGCGGUGAAAUGCGCAGAUAUCGGGAGGAACACCAAUGGCGAAGGCAGCUUGCUGGGACGGUACUGACGCUGAGGCGCAAAAGCGUGGGGAGCGAACAGG
rnacentral:rRNA from 1 species